rnacentral:rRNA from 1 species
CCUACGGGGGGCAGCAGUGGGGAAUAUUGGGCAAUGGGCGCAAGCCUGACCCAGCAACGCCGCGUGAAGGAAGAAGGAUUUCGGGUUAUAAACUUCUUUUCUGAGGGACGACGAAAGUGACGGUACCUCAGGAAUAAGCCACGGCUAACUACGUGCCAGCAGCCGCGGUAAUACGUAGGUGGCAAGCGUUAUCCGGAUUUAUUGGGUGUAAAGGGCGUGUAGGCGGGAAAGCAAGUCAGAUGUGAAAACUCAUGGCUCAACCCUGAGCCUGCAUUUGAAACUGUUUUUCUUGAGUGCUGGAGAGGCAAUCGGAAUUCCGUGUGUAGCGGUGAAAUGCGUAGAUAGACGGAGGAACACCAGUGGCGAAGGCGGAUUGCUGGACAGUAACUGACGCUGAGGCGCGAAAGCGUGGGGAGCAAACAGGAUUAGAUACCCGGGUAGUC